rnacentral:rRNA from 1 species
CGAACGGCAGCACGGACUUCGGUCUGGUGGCGAGUGGCGAACGGGUGAGUAAUGUAUCGGAACGUGCCUAGUAGCGGGGGAUAACUACGCGAAAGCGUAGCUAAUACCGCAUACGCCCUUCGGGGGAAAGCAGGGGAUCGUAAGACCUUGCACUAUUAGAGCGGCCGAUAUCGGAUUAGCUAGUUGGUGGGGUAACGGCUCACCAAGGCGACGAUCCGUAGCUGGUUUGAGAGGACGACCAGCCACACUGGGACUGAGACACGGCCCAGACUCCUACGGGAGGCAGCAGUGGGGAAUUUUGGACAAUGGGGGAAACCCUGAUCCAGCCAUCCCGCGUGUGCGAUGAAGGCCUUCGGGUUGUAAAGCACUUUUGGCAGGAAAGAAACGUCCCGGGAUAAUACCCCGGGAAACUGACGGUACCUGCAGAAUAAGCACCGGCUAACUACGUGCCAGCAGCCGCGGUAAUACGUAGGGUGCAAGCGUUAAUCGGAAUUACUGGGCGUAAAGCGUGCGCAGGCGGUUCGGAAAGAAAGAUGUGAAAUCCCAGAGCUUAACUUUGGAACUGCAUUUUUAACUACCGAGCUAGAGUGUGUCACAGGGAGGUGGAAUUCCGCGUGUAGCAGUGAAAUGCGUAGAUAUGCGGAGGAACACCGAUGGCGAAGGCAGCCUCCUGGGAUAACACUGACGCUCAUGCACGAAAGCGUGUGGAGCAAACAGGAUUAGAUACCCUGGUAGUCCACGCCCUAGACGAUGUCAACUAGCUGUUGGGGCCUUCGGGCCUUGGUAGCGCAGCUAACGCGUGAAGUUGACCGCCUGGGGAGUACGGUCGCAAGAUUAAUACUCAAAGGAAUUGACGGGGACACGCACAAGCGGUGGAUGAUGUGUAUUAUUUCUAUGCAACGCGAGAAAC